AGAGCGAACGCUGGCGGCAGGCCUAACACAUGCAAGUCGAGCGCCCAGCAAUGGGAGCGGCAGACGGGAUAGUAACACGUGGGAACGUACCUUUCAGUUCGGAACAACCCAGGGAAACUUGGGCUAAUACCGAAUACGCCCGUAAGGGGAAAGAUUUAUCGCUGAAAGAUCGGCCCGCGUCUGAUUAGCUAGUUGGUGGGGUAAUGGCCCACCAAGGCGACGAUCAGUAGCUGGUCUGAGAGGAUGAUCAGCAUCACUGGGACUGAGACACGGCCCAGACUCCUACGGGAGGCAGCAGUGGGGAAUAUUGGACAAUGGGCGCAAGCCUGAUCCAGCCAUGCCGCGUGGAUGAUGAAGGCCCUAGGGUUGUAAAGUCCUUUCGGCGGGGAAGAUAAUGACGGUACCGCAGAAGAGCCCGGCUAACUUCGCGCCAGCAGCCGC
rnacentral:rRNA from 1 species